rnacentral:rRNA from 1 species
CUUCGGAUAGAGGCAAUCAGCAGCCAAGCGCCUAAAGCCGCGUGUAUUACAGUGUAUUACAGUUGGGUAUGCAUGUAUUACAAGCGGUCACGGUGAAGGUCCAGAGACUAAGUGGUGAUGGGUGUCGGCGCGGUUGACCGCGCCGAUGCUUAAGAUAUAGUCCGCCCCUCUUGAGAGAGAGCUCAUCGGAUGAAGGAGCGUGCACUCCCCGAGCCUUUGAGGUCGACCGGUUGUAUUACACAAGUGUAAUACACCGGCCGAUGGAUUCAUUAGAACGUCGCUAGAGUGUUGUAAUACGCAUGUAUUACAAACUGUCUUUUGUGUAAUACACAUGUAAUACGGAGUGUAUUACACCUUGUAUUACAGAGUGUAUUACACGGUCUAUUGGGAAGGGCCUUGGGAAAUGUUGGGUUGGGAAGUGCUCAUCGUUGCUCCGAAGUGGCUCUCGAGCUUCUCUGAUGCCGGCGGCGAGACCCUUGCGGACUCCGAUCCCAGCGCGUAUACCCUUGUAGACUCCGAGACCGGUGAGGACACCCAACCCUACCCGACCAAAGACAUGUAGUACAGAGCGUAAUACAGUUGUAAUACACAUGUAAUACAAGUCAUAGACAGUAUAAGAGACCCUCUAGCAGACCCUCUUUUAGUAAAGUGGGAGCCUGCGGCUUAAUUUGACUCAACACGGGGAAACUUACCAGGUCCAGACAUAGUAAGGAUUGACAGAUUGAGAGCUCUUUCUUGAUUCUAUGGGUGGUGGUGCAUGGCCGUUCUUAGUUGGUGGAGUGAUUUGUCUGGUUAAUUCCGUUAACGAACGAGACCCCCGCCUGCUAAAUAGCUGUGGGAAUGCGCUUGCAUUGCCUCAACUUCUUAGAGGGACUUUCGGUGACUAACCGAAGGAAGCUGGGGGCAAUAACAGGUCUGUGAUGCCCUUAGAUGUCCUGGGCCGCACGCGCGCUACACUGGCACACGCAACGAGUCUAUCACCUUGGUCGGCAGGCCUGGGUAAUCUGUGAACGUGUGCCGUGAUUGGGAUUGAUUGUUGCAAUUUUCAAUCAUGAACGAGGAAUUCCUAGUAAACGCGAGUCAUCAGCUCGCAUUGAUUACGUCCCUGCCCUUUGUACACACCGCCCGUCGCACCUACCGAUUGAAUGGUUCGGUGAAACCUCCGGACUGGGGUUCGCAAGCUUCACGGCGAACGUACCUCGGGAAGUUGGUUAAACCUCACUAUUUAGAGGAAGGUGAAGUCGUAACAAGGUCUCCGUAGGUGAACCUGCGGAGG